GACGAACGCUGGCGGCGUGCUUAACACAUGCAAGUCGAACGGAAAGGCCCUGCUUUUGUGGGGUGCUCGAGUGGCGAACGGGUGAGUAACACGUGAGUAACCUGCCCUUGACUUUGGGAUAACUUCAGGAAACUGGGGCUAAUACCGGAUAGGAGCUCCUGCUGCAUGGUGGGGGUUGGAAAGUUUCGGCGGUUGGGGAUGGACUCGCGGCUUAUCAGCUUGUUGGUGGGGUAGCGACUCACAAAGGCUUUGACGGGUAGCCUGCCUUAGAGUGUGACCAGCCACAAUGGAGCUGAGAUACGACCCAGACGCCUACGGAGGGCAGGAGUGGGGAAAGUUGCACAAUGGGCGGAAGCCUGAUACGAAGACGCCGCGUGCGGGAUAACGUGCUUCGAGUUAUAAACCGCUUUCGCAGGAGACGAAGCGUGAGUGACGGUAAUGAGUAAAGAAGCACCGGCUAACGACGUG
rnacentral:rRNA from 1 species